rnacentral:misc_RNA from 1 species
AGGAGGAAAAAAAUCGAGUUUUUGAGCUUAUAGCUAAACGUUUAAACGGUCUGGGAUAUGAUAUACGACGGCACAGCACGUUUGUAGCAAAUUAAAAAACCUUAAGUAGAUCGAUGUAUAAAGAGUGUAGAGAAGAGGAGGCCACAAAAUCUGGAGAAUGGACUCCGACCUGGAAAUUUUAUUGGAGGGUUCACAAGAACUUGGGUGGACGUCCAAUGGUGGAUCCCAUAGAAGGCACUCUCGGUGAAUCCUAUUACCUCCUUCUAGGGCUAGGCCUAGGCCUAGACAGCCGGAAACGUCCAGCCUUGAUAACUUUUAUAGCAGUGAGACUGAGAACACAACUGCUGAAGCUUUUGCAAUUCUUCAACAACAAUCCUUGGCUAAAAUAUCAGGACCCAUAUGUGUGGUGUGCACGAAGGAAUGUGCUUCACACAAGUGUUUUAAAUGCAGAAGGCCUGUCCCUAUUAUACCACCAUGCUUAGGUGAAGGUCCAAGUGUUAUAGAAGAAGGUUAUGAUGUAGACGUGAGGUGUGCAAUAUGUUUCGAUGGUGCUUUGUCCGAUACAUCAACGCCUAGUAAACGGAGGCUGGAAAGUGAUGAAAGCUACAAUGACUCGAAGCUUUAAGACCCGAAGCAGACAUCAUUAAUAUAGCCGAUAAAGGUACUGUUUCAGAUGCAGAACAAACUCCUAUCAAAAGAUGGGAGAAACACUGGUACGCUGCCCAAAAGUGAACAAAAUGUUAGGUCACUUGCAAAGCAUUUAAAGGACCAGAUGAGGGAAAAUAAUAGAUUUUGGAAAUCAGCAAUGAAGGAGCAAAUGGAGCAAGUAAAAGAAAUUACUGAAGAGGAAAGAGCAGCAAUAAGCCGUCUGCAUAAUACGCUUAAUGAAGGUUUAAAGCUACAGCAGAACUAUGUCGCCACAACUCAAAGAAACCAAGAGCGGUUGCUGGCUGUAUUCGAAAGAAUGGUACCAGCACAACCACAGCAAUUGCAGCUUCAUCCCAACCUGUUUCCAAAUCCUUUUUUGGGCAACUUGAAUAGCAACAAUUAUUAACUUUAUCUCAAAUCUAGUCUUGCAUAUAUACAGUAUGCAGUUCAUCAUUCAUUGACCAUAUUGACUCAUUAAUUAUACUGUAUUUAAAUUUAAAGCAUUUAUCCAUCCCAUUGAUGCACUGUUUAAAGUAAAAUUACUUGUUAUGUUCUCUGUUGUAUUUAGAAUUUAUUAGCCCCAGUUUCCCUAGCAAUACCAAUUUUAAAAAUCAAGAUUUGAUUUCUCAGCUUGGGCAGAUGCAGGAGAUCGCAUCCCCUCCUUGCCAAAUUAUAUUUAUAUAAAUGGAUUGUUGUAUUUUUUAUAUAAAUUACAGUACCAGUUAGAUUUUAAAGUUAUGAAAGUGCAAUUUCUGGGUUCGUAUUCUUAAAAUUUUCAUGCCUUACCCACAACCAUUUUGGCGCUGAGAUGGUGUGGACUCGCACCCCCUACAGCCAAAUCCUGCAUCUGCCCCAGCUCAGACGUCGUCAAAAUAAUAAAUUGUGUGAAAUAUUGUUACAUUUUUAAUUUAUAUAGUGUGAUAUGUACAGUUCUAUAAAAAAAAAAAAAAAAGAUCCCCAUAAUAGGGGUUGAAAAUUUAUUUAUUUGACCUUUUUGGGUUGGGUUUGUAGUGAUAAAGGAAAGGUUGCCAUGUGAUGUAGUUGUUAAUUUUUGUGUUAUUGUUUAAUAAAUGAAGCUUGCUUCCAAAGAGAAAAGAA